rnacentral:misc_RNA from 1 species
CAAUAAGAGUGUUUAUGGCACUCUUCCAAAAAUCCAUACCCACCUUGUGUGCAACGUAAGAAGAAAGAAACGCAGGUCAUGGGGGGACGAAGCUGGCAACAGCAAAGAAGCCCAAGACUAGUUUUUUUCUUUUCCACAAACACCUUUCUACAAGUUCCUAUUGUCUGAAGCUGUUAGAGAAUGACUAAUUCUUAAACA